GUUCUAAUUGUGGAUAGCAGGGUCACUGGAUAAAUGAGUGCCCAAACCCACCCCCACAGAUUCCUCAAUACCAACCACAAAACCCACACCCAACAAUCCCAGCCUAAUACACAGAUGGUUCAUGUUUUUAAUAUUUUAUAUAGGUUUAGGUGUUAAUCCAAGAGUAUUGAAUUAUUUGGGAUUAUUAAAGUAAUUAAUUUUGAGUAUCAAAUCAAGGUUCAAGUUUAGGAACAGAGUUUUAUUGGGAAUGUAUAUGUAAAUGUUAGUGUUUUAAUAUUCAUCCUAACAAGCAUUUCUAUAGAGUGAGUGCUUCUCUCAUCCGUACAAAGGCAUUCCAAAUGGGUAUUAUGUAAAACUUCACAGAAGACAGAUUGCAUAAAAUAUAAGCAAAUGUAAGAGAAGUACAUGUUACACAAGUUAAGGGUUUAACCUUAAUCUCUAAUUUAAGUUUUAGCCUAGGUAAUAAAUUAAUGAUGUUGUAUUGAUCCUUGUGUUUGUAUGAUUGUAGAGACCGUCCUGGAGUGUUUGUGCCACCUGAUUUCUGGGACUACACAUCAAUCUCUCCGGCUGACCAUGCAAUAAGUAUUUUGCAAUUACAUCUGUUUGGUCAUUAUCCAUGCAGGCCGAAGAAACUGAGAUACCUACUUAUGAGGACAUAAACUUUGCACGCAAGAACCUGGAACGUCCUGAAGGUGCAGUGCUGUCUAAUACCGCUGGUUCUGUAAUAACCCUUUCAACCAUUGGGGUGUUGUACAGAGCAUUGUGGUGAAAAUCCAGCAAACAAAAGAAGAACUAUGUGGAAGCUGACAUUGUCUUGUUGUCAGCCAUAUUGCUACCCUAGCCAUUUUAUGGAACAAAAUGUCUGGUGUCUAAACUGAUUUCUUUAUACUCUGUGAAAGACUUAUUCUAUUUUUCUGAACUAUGCUGAACUAUUGAACUAUUUUUAUUUUUACUUUUGUAGAGUUAGCCGGAGAGAAAGAGGAAGUGUUAAUUGACCCAGGGAUGAAUGUACUAUGUGUGUUUUUGAUAUGUAUUGAGUGUGCCAAGGAUGGAUUCCCAUGUUUUGAGGAACUGUGUGAGGACUGGUUUUGACUGGACCUUUGGAAUAGGAAAAUGGUUAAAAGAUAUAGGAUGCAAGGUCCUGGUUGUGAUUAUUAUCAGAAUUUCAAGCUAGAUUAUAAUUUAUCUCAUUAAUUAAUAUGUAAGAAGUGUUUCCCAAUUUCUCCCAAUACCGAGCUAUGUACUCACAGGUGCGGGUAUUAUAAGUCACAAGUGGUGUCAACUGUGAGGGGAUGACAUGUCUAACGCGAUCGCGGCCCCCACUCAGGUUUUCCCCAGAUGUGCUUUUUCCUCAAAUAUGAGUUUUUGCCACUGGGGUUUUUUGACUGGCCCCAGAUCAUCGGGUGGACUGGUAAUCCUAGACCCCGGUCCUUGGACGGGGGAUAGGUAUUAUUCCCACUUUGACUAUAUGCGCCCACUUCCAUGGACGAAGGAGGAAAACAGCUGUUGGGAAUAAUACACUUGCCCAUAUUUACCCAGGGCUCACGAUACAGAUGACAGGCUGUUUAAAGUCUGUUUAAAAUUGGUUAACAUGUCAGCUAUUUGCAAUAAUACAUUUGCUAUAAGCCCAAGUUCCAUUUUGUCUUAAACAUCCAUUUUCUAUAUAUCUGUCUGUAAAAGUAUUAAGUGUCUUUUUUCCUGCUGAGUUUCUGUUUCUUGUAGACCACAUGAUUGCUUGGGAAUGCCAUAAUGUGGAAGUGUCUCUGUCCUGGGAAGAUUUUAACCGAUAAGAUGAGCAAUUUUUUUUUAUUGCUCAAAGAGGGGAAUGUAAGCAUAUGAAAUAGUUAACUUUUCUUGUUCAUAUGCAUUUUAUGCUUAGAUAAGGUUUAUAAUCAUUAGUGCUGACUGUAAGGAUAUGAAAUGGUUAACUCUUUUUGCUUUAUAUGCUUUAAAAUAAUGUUUGAAAUAAUUAUGCUGACUUUGGCAGAUGUAUUUUGUACCAAGGUCUUUCGUCUACAGGAUGUAUGACCUUGCUCGACCUCAGGAUGUUACUGUGACCUCUUUAUUCAAACGCUUAUCUUUUUAAUGUCAGACAAGUAUGUACUACUAACUUUAAGGAAAUGAUAAAUCUCGCUGCUUGCGUGACAAACUGUGUAUAAAUGCUAGCCCUGAAAAUAUACUCAUUGAGAACUUGUUAAGCACUCUUUCGUGUCUGUGUGUCUUAAUUUGCUAACAAGAACUCCCAUCAAUUGAUGUGGUGACCGGAGGAUCGAGAAUCGAGGGGAGUUGAGUCCAGAACAGCAUU
rnacentral:lncRNA from 1 species